GCCCCGGUGGCGCAGUGGCAGCGCGUUACUCUUCUUAAAUAAAGGUCGUAGGUUCAAAUCCUACCCGGGGCA